rnacentral:tRNA from 1 species
AGCUUAUAGUUCUAAUAGGGAAUUCCCCAUUUACACUGGGUGGGCUCCUGUGCAAUUCAGGAUUGGUUGAU